rnacentral:lncRNA from 1 species
UUUAUUCAGCUUCUAAUUCAAUUUCCACAAUUUAUGGUGAUUUUCCAAAAUCACGCUACUGUUGCUGUCCCAAGCAGAUUUAUUACAAUUUGCACUUUCACACAUUCCUUGCAUUCAAAUUAUCUAAACAUGUAUAUCAUGUCAUUCAAGAUCGAACUCAUAUAACAUAGGCAUUAAAAUGCUUCACUAACAGCUUUAGUUCAAUUGAAACGAAUAAAAUACAAUAUCAUAUUCACAUUUAAUUUUCCAUGAUCGUAAUCACCUAAAAAUAAAUCAUAUACUUCCACAAACCUUUCCACAAGGACCAAGUGUUUAUAUUUGAAUAUAAACAUAAAAUCACUUCACAUAACUUCACACAUUUACCGAAUAUAUCACGAUCACAUAUAUAGUCAUAACACUUAUUCACAGAUGCAUCACUUUAUAUAUUUAUAAUUUAAUUCAAAUCAAAUCACAUACGAGUACAUGAUACGUACCUGGCCAACUUAAUAUGUAAUGCACUUUCAAUUUGUCAACUUAGUGUAGGAUCUUGUAAUUGUAUACUUUUAUCAAAUUCAUCGGCACUUGGCCUGCUAGGUAUAAAACCCGAAAUUAUAUUACCAGCACAAAGCCUGCGGGACUUUAGCUCGGAUACAUUUCCAGCACGAAGC